rnacentral:rRNA from 1 species
AUUGAACGCUGGCGGCAUGCUUUACACAUGCAAGUCGAACGGUAACAGGCCUUCGGGUGCUGACGAGUGGCGAACGGGUGAGUAAUGCAUAGGAACGUACCCAGAGGUGGGGGAUAACGCAGCGAAAGCUGUGCUAAUACCGCAUGUGAUCUGAGGAUGAAAGCGGGGGACCGAGCAGCAAUGUUUGGCCUCGCGCCUUUGGAGCGGCCGAUGUCGGAUUAGCUAGUUGGUGGGGUAAAGGCCUACCAAGGCGACGAUCCGUAGCUGGUCUGAGAGGACGACCAGCCACACUGGGACUGAGACACGGCCCAGACUCCUACGGGAGGCAGCAGUGGGGAAUUUUGGACAAUGGGCGCAAGCCUGAUCCAGCAAUGCCGCGUGCGGGAAGAAGGCCUUCGGGUUGUAAACCGCUUUUGGCAGGAACGAAACGGUGUCCGCUAAUACCGGGCGCUAAUGACGGUACCUGCAGAAUAAGCACCGGCUAACUACGUG